CUUGUAAGGACAUGCUUCCUUAUAUCCCCAUAUUAAUACACCACUUAUGGAAUGUAAGGAAGUGUGUGGUUACGAG
rnacentral:pre_miRNA from 13 species